rnacentral:rRNA from 1 species
AUCUACAGCCAUACCACCCUGAACACAUGAGAUCUCAUCUGAUCUCAGAAGCUAAGCAACAUCGGGCCUGGUGAGUACUUGGAUGGGAGACCGCCUGGGAAUACUGGGUGCUGUGGGCU